rnacentral:rRNA from 1 species
AGAGUUUGAUCCUGGCUCAGAUUGAACGCUGGCGGCGUGCCUAACACAUGCAAGUCGAACGUGAAAGUCCUUUCGGGGGCGAGUAAAGUGGCGCACGGGUGAGUAACGCGUGGAUAAUCUGCCUUUAAGUUUGGGAUAACGGUUGGAAACGAUCGCUAAUACUGGAUACGUUGCUCUAUUUGUUUAGGGUGAGAAAGAUGGCCUCUGCUUGCAAGCUGUCGCUUAGAGAUGAGUCCGCGUUCCAUUAGCUAGUUGGUAGGGUAAUGGCCUACCAAGGCAACGAUGGAUAGCCGGUCUGAGAGGAUGACCGGCCACACUGGAACUGAAACACGGUCCAGACUCCUACGGGAGGCAGCAGUGGGGAAUAUUGCGCAAUGGGCGAAAGCCUGACGCAGCGACGCCGCGUGAGGGAUGAAGGUUUUCGGAUCGUAAACCUCUGUCAGAAGGGAAGAAGUUAUAUUGUGCUAAUCAGCAGUAUAUUGACGGUACCUUCAAAGGAAGCACCGGCUAACUUCCGUGCCACAGCCCGCGGUAAUACGGAGGGUGCAAGCCGUUAAUCGGAAUAAACUGGGCCGUAAAGCGCACGUAGGCUUGUUUUUGUAAGUCAAGAGGUGAAAUCCCACGGCUCAACCCGUGGAACUGGCCUUGAGUGCUCUUCGAAGAGCUACAAGACAGGUGCUGCAUGGCUGUCGUCAGCUCGUGUCGUGAGAUGUUGGGUUAAGUCCCGCAACGAGCGCAACCCCUAUUCAUAGUUGCUACCAAGUAAUGUUGGGCACUCUAUGGAGACUGCCCGGGUCAACCGGGAGGAAGGUGGGGACGACGUCAAGUCAUCAUGGCCCUUACACCUAGGGCUACACACGUACUACAAUGGCGCAUACAAAGGGUAGCGAAGCCGCGAGGUGAAGCCAAUCUCAAAAAGUGCGUCUCAGUUCGGAUUGGAGUCUGCAAUUCGACUCCAUGAAGUCGGAAUCGCUAGUAAUUCUGGAUCAGCAUGCCAGGGUGAAUGCGUUCCCGGGCCUUGUACACACCGCCCGUCACACCACGAAAGUUGGUUUUACCCGAAGCCGAUGAGCUAACUCGCAAGAGAGGCAAUCGUCUACGGUAGGGCCGAUGAUUGGGGUGAAGUCGUAACAAGGUAACC